rnacentral:rRNA from 1 species
CACGUAGGGCGCAAGCGUUGUCCGGAAUUAUUGGGCGUAAAGAGCUCGUAGGCGGUCUGUUGCGUCCGCUGUGAAAACCCGGGGCUUAACCCUGGGCUGGCAGUGGAUACGGACAGACUAGAGGUAGGUAGGGGAGAAUGGAAUUCCCGGUGUAGCGGUGAAAUGCGCAGAUAUCGAGAGGAACACCGGUGGCGAAGGCGGUUCUCUGGGCCUUACCUGACGCUGAGGAGCGAAAGCGUGGGGAGCGAACAGG